rnacentral:rRNA from 1 species
GACGAACGCUGGCGGCGCGCCUAACACAUGCAAGUCGAACGAGAGAGAAGGAGCUUGCUUCUUCGAUCGAGUGGCGAACGGGUGAGUAACGCGUGAGGAACCUGCCUCAAAGAGGGGGACAACAGUUGGAAACGACUGCUAAUACCGCAUAAGCCCACGGGUCGGCAUCGACCAGAGGGAAAAGGAGCAAUCCGCUUUGAGAUGGCCUCGCGUCCGAUUAGCUGGUUGGUGAGGUAACGGCCCACCAAGGCGACGAUCGGUAGCCGGACUGAGAGGUUGAACGGCCACAUUGGGACUGAGACACGGCCCAGACUCCUACGGGAGGCAGCAGUGGGGAAUAUUGCACAAUGGGGGAAACCCUGAUGCAGCGACGCCGCGUGGAGGAAGAAGGUCUUCGGAUUGUAAACUCCUGUUGUUGAGGAAGAUAAUGACGGUACUCAACAAGGAAGUGACGGCUAACUACGUGCCAGCAGCCGCGGUAAAACGUAGGUCACAAGCGUUGUCCGGAAUUACUGGGUGUAAAGGGAGCGCAGGCGGGAAGACAAGUUGGAAGUGAAAUCCAUGGGCUCAACCCAUGAACUGCUUUCAAAACUGUUUUUCUUGAGUAGUGCAGAGGUAGGCGGAAUUCCCGGUGUAGCGGUGG